rnacentral:rRNA from 1 species
UACGGAGGAUGCAAGCGUUAUCCGGAAUGAUUGGGCGUAAAGCGUCCGCAGGUGGCAAUGUAAGUCUGCUGUCAAAGCGUCUGGCUCAACCAGAUAAAGGCAGUGGAAACUACAUAGCUAGAGUAAGGUAGGGGUAGAGGGAAUUCCUGGUGUAGCGGUGAAAUGCGUAGAGAUCAGGAAGAACACCGGUGGCGAAAGCGCUCUGCUGGGCCAUUACUGACACUCAUGGACGAAAGCUAGGGGAGCGAAAGGG